rnacentral:rRNA from 1 species
AGCGGAGGAAAAGAAACCAACAGGGAUUGCCUUAGUAGCGGCGAGUGAAGCGGCAAAAGCUCAAAUUUGAAAUCUGGCUCUUUCAGAGUCCGAGUUGUAAUUUGAAGAAGGUAUCUUUGGGUCUGGCUCUUGUCUAUGUUUCUUGGAACAGAACGUCACAGAGGGUGAGAAUCCCGUGCGAUGAGAUGAUCCAGGCCUAUGUAAAGUUCCUUCGAAGAGUCGAGUUGUUUGGGAAUGCAGCUCUAAGUGGGUGGUAAAUUCCAUCUAAAGCUAAAUAUUGGCGAGAGACCGAUAGCGAACAAGUACAGUGAUGGAAAGAUGAAAAGAACUUUGAAAAGAGAGUGAAAAAGUACGUGAAAUUGUUGAAAGGGAAGGGCUUGAGAUCAGACUUGGUAUUUUGUAUGUUACUUCUUCGGGGGUGGCCUCUACAGUUUAUCGGGCCAGCAUCAGUUUGGGCGGUAGGAGAAUUGCGUUGGAAUGUGGCACGGCUUUGGUUGUGUGUUAUAGCCUUCGUCGAUACUGCCAGCCUAGACUGAGGACUGCGGUU